rnacentral:rRNA from 1 species
UACGAAGGGGGCUAGCGUUGUUCGGAAUUACUGGGCGUAAAGCGCGCGCAGGCGGUUUUUCAAGUCAGUGGUGAAAGCCCGGAGCUCAACUCCGGAAAUGCCAUUGAAACUGUUAACCUUGAGGACGAGAGAGGUGAGUGGAAUUCCCAGUGUAGAGGUGAAAUUCGUAGAUAUUGGGAAGAACACCGGUGGCGAAGGCGGCUCACUGGCUCGUUUCUGACGCUGAGGAGCGAAAGCGUGGGGAGCGAACAGG